UACGUAGGGUGCAAGCGUUGUCCGGAAUUAUUGGGCGUAAAGAGCUCGUAGGCGGUUUGUCGCGUCUGCUGUGAAAACUCGGGGCUCAACCCCGGGCCUGCAGUGGGUACGGGCAGACUAGAGUGCGGUAGGGGAGACUGGAAUUCCUGGUGUAGCGGUGAAAUGCGCAGAUAUCAGGAGGAACACCGGUGGCGAAGGCGGGUCUCUGGGCCGUAACUGACGCUGAGAAGCGAAAGCAUGGGGAGCGAACAGG
rnacentral:rRNA from 1 species